rnacentral:lncRNA from 1 species
GGCCUGCACUUCAGUCUACGUCUGGUACUAGGCCUUUAUUUUAUUGUAUGGCAUUACUGCUUCAAGAAAUAUAUUUUUAGUCAUGGGCAAGACCUAAAAACAUAUCUGGUUGCUUUCCAAAGUCUGAAACGUUGUUUUUUUAAUCUCAAGAUGCAGGGUACGGGGAGCAAAGCCUACAGAAAUGGCCUGCUAAGUGAGAAGCAUUUAAACAACUUGUAACAGCAUACAAUUCACUAGGUCACAAUGUUCAGUUUAAAAGCUGUGUUUUCUAAGCCCUUAAUUUUAUCAGAACUUUAAAUAUAGGAUAAAUGCUUUUAUGCCUGUAGAAGAUGCAAUUAGAGUUCCACCAUUUAACAAGAGCCAGAAACAGCAACAAUUUCAGUGGCCAUGGCUAGGUUUUGCCUUCUAAUUGUAUGCUUUCUCUUCCCAGCUCCACCCAGCAUGUGCAUGUGAAGCCGACCAUAUCUAAAGCUAUGGCAAGGAAACUACAUGGGUGUGGUCCCAGCUAAGCCCAGCCACGUCUCUGCAGGGUGCUGACUGCUCCGGGAGGAGGAAAGCAUGAAACAGGAACAACAGUUCUGUGUCCUUUGCAUGAGUAACAGAUGUUUUGAAAGAGCUGCAAGAGACCAAGAUAAAUAAGAAGAGCUUCAUGCUGAUAUGGGAAGUGUCAGAAAGCCUUGAAGACACUCAGAGAACUCAAGGGAACCCUUAUCUCAUCUGCAUAUGGUGUUCACAAAGGGCCUGCUGGAAGAUCCAAGUCCAGUCUGCACUCAUGAAGCACCUGCUCUGCAGCUCUGGUCCUCUGAUACGCAUCUACACCACAAGAUGUGACCAGGAGAUUCGCUGUGCUGUCUGCUGUCCAUUGAAAUUAAACAUGGGUGCUCAGAGAGCAGAGGAGGGAGCUUCGAUGAAGUCUUGUAGAUCACCUGAAGGAGAUGAUUGAGAUGAUGCCUGCAGGUCACCUUGUGAGUGAACAUAUGAAACGGACUAGAAUUUCAUGGGAGCCUCAUUAUAUUAGGGCUAUAGGCCAAAUAAAGAAGUUCAAUCAUAUGAAUAUACA